ACUUUUCAAUCAUGAAUAGCUUGAAAAUGCAGACUUCAUACAUAGGCAUUCAUUGCUAGCAGCUCUGAUCCAUACAUUGAAAGUCUUCCCACCUGGAAAAAAAAUCAGGAUGGAGUUAAAGGCAUUAUGAAAAGCUUCCUAGUUAGUGUCUUUAACCAUUCCCACAAUGGGAAAUCAGAUAUAUAAAGUAGGAAAUUGUGUUGACUGCUUCAAACUCUACUAGUUCUUCUUCUCUGGAGGUUUUUAAGCAGAGACUGGAAUGGCCAUCUGCAGGGAGUGCUUUGAUUGUAUUGUCCUAUAUGGCUGAAGGUUGGAUUGUAUGGCCUUUGUGAUCUUUUCCAACUGUAUGAUUUUAGUCCAAAUAGACAAAUGGGUGGGCUGCCAGCUUUCUUAUUGCUCCAGCCAUCCUUGUCUCCUGACAAACCCUUGCCCAGAUCUUCAGACUUUGCCAAAUCUUUAGGUGUUUCAAAUGAUUAAGUGCCAAUUGGCAAAACUACUAUAGACUAGAGUUCCAAGUUCUUGUUCAAAAUCCUGCAGGUUUUCAGCAAAUUGUGUGUCCAGGAACACCAUUCCCAAAAGUAGUGUUCAAAAGAAUGCUGUAGUCCAUUGGCUCUCAACCUGUGGAUCCACAGAUGUUUUGGCCUUCAACUCCCAGAAAUCCUAACAGCUGAUAAACUGGCUGGGAUUUCUGGGAGUUGUAGGCCCAAACACCUGGGGACCCACAGAUUGAGAACCACUGCCUAUGUAACUUCUGGCUAGAGAGAAUUUGCAUGCAUCUUACCUUCCACGGCUUGUUAGAAAAUAUAUAUUCCAUUAUAUUGAACCACAAAUGCAUCAUGUGGAGCUGGGGGAGAAGAUAACCGUAGAUUGUGUUUAGAGUAAAUGGCAUUAUUUUCUCUCCUCUUCAAGAUCUCUCAUCCAUUUCAAAGGCAAUUGUGCAUACCUUGCAAAAUGGAAUGUAAUAGGAUCCUCAGUACUGCGUAUUAAAGUGACCUCUGUUCUUGUUAGAUACCACUUACAGUUGUAAAAGUACAUGACUAUCUACAAGCCGUGGAAUGUAGUGAAAUCUGCAGAAUAUUCUUUGUGUAAAGACAAUUUGUGUUCAAUAUGUCUUAGUUUGUGGAGGUUAUUUUGUGUAUUUUUAAACAUUGCUGAAUGAGAGAUUUAAACCACCUUAAUUAUUUUCACUGUUGAAAACCAUGAAACAAGGUGUGGUGAAGAAACAAAUACAUUUCACAUGAAAUCAUAAUAAAAUAUAAACAAAUCUAAGCUUUGCUCUCAUUGUCACAGUCUUAAACUCAGGAAGUCUUGAAAAUAUGGCACUAAUACUAUUUUUCUUAGAUUUUUGAAAUCCCCCUUGGAUUUCAGUUUCAGAGCUGUUCAGUAGAUUACACUUUAGGUUUCUUCGAUGUUUCUGUAGUUGAAAGUGGCCAAAGUCUUUAGUUCUCAAUGAAAAAGUAAAAUAAUACACAUCUUUCUUAAAUCUAGUGAUUGAAAACUUAUUGGCAACAGUUUGUAUAUUUGCCUUAGUGUUAUUUUGGUGUAUUUCCAUUGUUUUUUUAUUUGGGUUGCUUCUCUUUCACGGAGCAUAGAACCAGGGGCAUACCAGUAAACAUACCAUUUAUUUUAUUUGAGGAAGGUUUGUUUAGUUUUAUUGCCUUAAAAUGCUAUCGUAUAUCUAGUAUUCUAAUUGAAAGCCACUGAACUAAUAAAAUUUUAACCAUGAGACUGGGAUUUUUUUUAAAUGCUUAGAAUGAAUGUAAUUUUAACUUAAUUGCUCGAGGUUCUAAAUUUAUGGGAGAGCUUUUUUUUUUUACCAAUCACCAUCACAUGGCUGUUUUGCACCUAACCUUUGGAUGACUUAUCAAGUUUUUGGCAGCUGUUGUUUGUGGAAUUGGUGCACAGACAGGUGUAGAAUAAAAAUUAAAGGACGAGGUUGCCUCUGAACAUAUUCUUAGCAUAGGAAUAGACUAUCAGUACCAGAAUUGAUUUCAUAGGUGCUUAAAGCAUGCAUGAUUAUCUGUUCAUGUAUGUAAUAACACAUGGAUAUACAUCUUGAUUUCUCCUAAUAUUCUCUGAAUCACACAUACAUCUAUGAUUUCUCUGUGAAUUACACAAUUGGUUAAUCUGUGCAGGUGCAGAGCACUGUUCAGAACUUUUUAAAAUCAUGAGGCAGAAAAUUUUGUCAUUAACCCCGCCCACCAUUCCAACGCUAUAUAAGGCCUGGUUGCCACCAAAAUCCCUCAGUUCCUUUCAUCCACGCUGUAGCCGGUUCAGGAACCUUCACUAUUCAAGCUUGUUAGUUCUUCAGACUUUGCCUAUUCUUCUAUUUUUGGACUUCUUUUUAGUUUCUAACGAGAGUUUCUUUAAUUCCAACCUUGUGCUUUGAAGGCUCCCGCUUUUGAGUCAUUUUGUUCUGUGAGUACGGUGUUUGCGACCUAGUCCAGUAUGGCCUCCAUGACUUGCUUCAAGCAGUGUGAGCAGUGUUUGGGUAAACUUCCUGACACAGAUGGGUAUUCAAAGUGCCUUCUUUGCUUAGGCGAAGGACAUUCUGUCUACUCCUACAUUCAUUGCAAGGCCUGUAAGCCUCAAGCAAGGAAGAAUCGAGAGAUGAGGCUUUGUUCCUCUCUGUACCAACAGGCCCUCUCAUCUUCUUCCUCAGCUUUGUUCAAACUGGGUCAAAGCAGUCAGAUGUGGGCCCCCCAAUAUCAGUCCCUGCAUCAACUUUGGGGAAACCUGUUCCUCCUUCAAUGUCUUCAAUGAAGGCUGCCAUGAAACAUUAGGUAGAGCAAGCAACUGCUUCUCAUUCAAAGAAGGUGAAAUCCAAGGAGCCCACUUCAUUUCCAGAGAAACCCUCGGCACAAAGAGAGGGGAGAGGCAUCCUUUUUAUUAGAGGAAGACAGACUUAUCUAUUCUGUUGAAAGGGAUGGGAAGGAAUAGAUACUGUGGUGUAAAACUGUUCCGCUAUGGGUUUGCCAGUAGUUCCAUGAAGCUGUGAAUGUGAUAUUUAUAUUUCAUACCUGUGAUGUGUCCCAUUUUUGCCUACUCUGCUGGUUUCCCUUUUUCUUGGCACAACAUCUAUGUUAGUGAGAUUUACAGGGGCCUAUUAGAGCAGUUACAUUCAAUUGGCAGAGCUCCAUUUCCUCCAGAGAGAUGACAUAAUCCCCAGGAUAGGAAUAAAUCCUAAAUUGCUUCGAUAGAAUCAAAGAAGAAUAAUAGAAUUGGACAAGACCACAAGGGCCACUCUGUCCAGCACUCUCAGCAGAUAGGCAUACAAUCUUGAUUAAAAUCCUCCAAAGAAGGAGACUCCACCACACUUCAAAGCAGUGUAUUUUACUGAUGACAUUGACUAUAAUAGUUUCUUUAUACAUCAAAUGGUAAGGCUGACUGUAAAACAAGUUAUUUGAACAGGGAAAAAGAAUAAGAUGUGUGGAA